rnacentral:lncRNA from 1 species
GUUCUUCCAACCAGAAAGCAGGCGGCACCAGGAAGGCUGGCUCCAUCUUUCUUGUUGCAAAGGCACAAGGACAGGUUCCAUACAGAACACCAGACGCAGAAUCCACCUGCCCUUGAAAACACCAACCGGGAGCAACUAAGAGGUGUUGAUUUAUUUAUUAUGAAUACAGUAUUCGUGCAUGUAUGCCGUCAGGCCAGAAGAGGGCACCAGAUCUCUCAUUACAGACUCAUUACAGAUGGUUGUGAGCCUCCGUGUACUUGCUAGUUGUUGGGAAUUGAACUCAGGACCUCUGGAACACCAAUCAGUGCUCUAAACCACUGAGCCAUCUCUCCAGCCCCCGUGCGCACUGUCUUCUAAUGUUAUCCUUUUACAUAGAAACAGUCUGUAUGUCCCCCUAUGGUGUAAGUCCCCUACCAGCCCAAUGGCUGUCCUUAAUGGAAAAUCUCACAGAAUUUUGUUUACAGGUGUUGUGUUCCUGAGAUUGUGUGUUUAUGUACAUAUGACAACAUGUGUGAAAUGCAGCUGAUAAAGAUGAAGAUCAGUGGGUACACAUUUGAGCUCUGGAGCCAAGCUGCCUAGAAUUAAAUAUUGUCUUUUAUUACUUAAUGGCUAUCGCUGACCAGCUUAUUAGCGCUCAGCAAGCUUGUUUCCCGGUGAUUUGGCUUUCUCAUUAGUAAAUGAGCGGACAGAUUGUACCUGCUUCUCAAGAUAGUUGUGAGAAUUAAAUAGUUUACCAAUUUGCAUGGCACUUAAUGCUCACACACAACACUAUGCAUUAUCAUUAUUAUUAGAUUAUUAAUUGAUACACAGUUGGGUUAUAAGAAUCAAAAAUGCGUGCUACAUAGUUAUAUUCAUCUUUAAAAUUCACUGAAUCAGCUGGGCAUGGUGGUGCACGCCUUUAAUCCCAGCACUUGGGAGGCAGAGGCAGGUGGAUUUCUGAGUUCGAGGCUAGCCUGAUCAACAAAGUGAGUUCCAGGACAGCCAGGGCUAUAUAGAGAAACCCUGUCUCAAAAAAAUUUUUUUUCAAUGAAUCUUUAUAUUAUUCCAAUUAAUACAGAUUAAUAAUUUAAUUUAAAUGUAGGUAUUUUAUUAUACUAACACAUAGAAUUUCCCUAAUUUAUGUGAUAAACAGGUCUAUGUACCAAAAAUGAAACAACAAAAUUCUCCCUCUAAGUACCCUCCCUAUAGGGAGUUAAUAUCUAAAGGAUAAAUUCCCUAUGAAAACAAACAAACUAGGGGCUAUUGCUAUGCCUUGACUGGUCUGUGAGCUUCUCAAAUACAGCAUUCAUUUUUGCAUUCAAUGUCUACCACAACAAGGAGGCAAAGUAUGUGUCAAAUAAAUACUAAAUGAAACAGCUGAUAGCUGUAAUAAAACAUCUAAUUCUUCAUCGGUCAGCUUGAUUGGUCUGAAAAAAAUAAAAGAGUGGAUUAGUGGGGGAUACUUUGGGGUGUGUCUGUUAGGUCUUUUACAGAGAAUUGGCUGAGGAAAGAGGACACACUCUGUGUGUAAGUGGUGCUCUCCCAUUGGGUAGGGUCUUGCACUGAAUAAAGAGGAAGAGGUGGAGAAUGUCAGCAGAGGACUGGCACCCUCCUUCACAUUCCUCCCACAUGUGAGCAAGCUGCUUUCUCCUGCUGUCACAGCACAGACCUCCCCACCCCACCAUGUUAGACUAACCCUUCCUCUCUUAAGCUGCUUCCUUGGUGACAGCUACUACCUGUGGCAGUGCAUGGAAGAGGUUUCUCCUGAGCCUUUUGUAAGACGCUCUGUAACCGUGAGCUGUUACUGUUGUUUUACUACUAUUUCAGGGGGAAAAAAGAAAUCAAAAUCUGUUCAUAUGCCUUGUAAAUAUCAUAACUGUGUCUCUAAAAUAUUCAGUGUGAUCAAGUACUUCAGGAACAUUUGUCUCUGAAUUAUUCUUACUUUUAUUUCAGAAGUUACUUAGUUCUAAUUAAGUUCAUCAGCAUGCUGAGACCUUCACUUUAUUAUGUAAACUACUUCUUCCCACAAACUCUGUAUAUCUCAUUUCUAAGAAAAAAAAAAGUGAUCAGACAGUGGUGCGUGCCUUUAAUCCCAGCACUUGGGAGACAGAGGCGGGUAGAUCUCUGUGAGUUUGAGGCCAGCCUGGUCUUCAUAGUAAGUUCCAGGACAGCCAAGGCUAUACAGAGAGAGACUCUGUCUCAAAAAAGCAAGCAAGCAAACAAACAAACAAAAAUUGGGAUCCAAGAACAAUGGAAGAACAUCUUUCAAGUGCUGAAAGAAAAGAAGGCUACAAGGAACCUUAUAAUCUGCUAAAUCUAGGAAAGGUAAAGGCAGAAUAGAGACCGUUUCACACAAAGGGAACAUUUGCCGAAACCUGUGCUGCUGAGGGAAACACCAACGUUCUUUGGGCAAGAGAAAUAUGACCCCAGAUAGAAAUUGAUAUCUUUUUUUAAAAAUGCAAGAAAUAUUAAAUCUGAUAAAUUUGGGACAUGUUUCUUGAUUUACUGCUUUUAAAAGAUAAUUGAAUGUCUAAAGCAAAGUUGUAAACAAUUCAAGAAGUCCGUAAUGCAUUAGAAGAAAGCUAUAUAACAAUAUGACAAGAAACAGAAAAGGAAGUGGAAAAUUAAUGUUACAAGGAUUUUAUACUGUAUAUGAAAUAACAUGAUUUGGAACUAGACUUAAAGUCAAGAUGAAUAAUGUAAGCCGUAGGGCAAUUACUAAAAAUAAUAAAACAUUCUUCAAAUAUGG